rnacentral:rRNA from 1 species
GACGAACGCUGGCGGCGUGCUUAACACAUGCAAGUCGAACGGAAAGGCCCUGCUUUUGUGGGGUGCUCGAGUGGCGAACGGGUGAGUAACACGUGAGUAACCUGCCCUUGACUUUGGGAUAACUUCAGGAAACUGGGGCUAAUACCGGAUAGGAGCUCCUGCUGCAUGGUGGGGGUUGGAAAGUUUCGGCGGUUGGGGAUGGACUCGCGGCUUAUCAGCUUGUUGGUGGGGUAGUGGCUUACCAAGGCUUUGACGGGUAGCCGGCCUGAGAGGGUGACCGGCCACAUUGGGACUGAGAUACGGCCCAGACUCCUACGGGAGGCAGCAGUGGGGAAUAUUGCACAAUGGGCGGAAGCCUGAUGCAGCGACGCCGCGUGCGGGAUGACGGCCUUCGGGUUGUAAACCGCUUUCGCCUGUGGCGAAGCGUGAGUGACGGUAAUGGGUAAAGAAGCACCGGCUAACUACGUG